rnacentral:rRNA from 1 species
AACGAACGCUGGCGGCAUGCCUAACACAUGCAAGUCGAACGAGACCUUCGGGUCUAGUGGCGCACGGGUGCGUAACGCGUGGGAACCUGCCCUUAGGGUCGGAAUAACUCCCCGAAAGGGGUGCUAAUACCGGAUAAUGUCUUCGGACGAAAGAUUUAUCGCCUUUGGAUGGGCCCGCGUUGGAUUAGCUAGUUGGUAGGGUAAAAGCCUACCAAGGCGACGAUCCAUAGCUGGUCUGAGAGGAUGAUCAGCCACACUGGGACUGAGACACGGCCCAGAAUCCUACGGGAGGCAGCAGUGGGGAAUAUUGGACAAUGGGCGAAAGGCUGAUCCAGCAAUGCCGCGUGAGUGAUGAAGGCCUUAGGGUUGUAAAGCUCUUUUACCCGGGAUGAUAAUGACAGUACCGGGAGAAUAAGCUCCGGCUAACUCCGUG